CAGUCGCCGCGGUAAUACAGAGGAUGCAAGCGUUAUCCGGAAUGAUUGGGCGUAAAGCGUCUGUAGGUGGCUUUUCAAGUCCGCCGUCAAAUCCCAGGGCUCAACCCUGGACAGGCGGUGGAAACUACCGAGCUGGAGUACGGUAGGGGCAGAGGGAAUCUCCGGUGGAGCGGUGAAAUGCGUUGAGAUCGGAAAGAACACCAACGGCGAAAGCACUCUGCUGGGCCGACACUGACACUGAGAGACGAAAGCUAGGGGAGCAAAUGGGAUUAGAUACCCCCGUAGUCCCUGUCUCUUAUAA
rnacentral:rRNA from 1 species